GCACUGCUGAUGAGUCCAAAACAGCACGAAAGAGCUGUCCAGUGC
rnacentral:hammerhead_ribozyme from 1 species